rnacentral:rRNA from 1 species
GCCGCGUGCGGGAAGAAGGCCUUCGGGUCGUAAACCGCUUUUGCGUGGGAAGAAUUUUGACGGUACCACGAGAAUAAGGGGUUGCUAACUCUGUGCCAGCAGCAGCGGUAAUACAGAGACCCCGAGCAUUAUCCGGAAUUACUGGGCGUAAAGCGAAAGUCACCGGUCGUGUUAGUCUGAUGUUAAAUCAUGGGGCCCAACUUCAUGUCUGCAUCGGAAACGGCACGGCUUGAGCGAAUGAGAGGAGAGCGGAACGUAUGGUGUAGGGGUGAAAUCCACUGAUAUCAUACGGAACACCAAAAGCGAAGGCAGCUCUCUAGCGUUCUGCUGACGGUCAAUUUCGAAAGCGUGGGGAUCAAAAAGGAUUAGAUACCCUUGUAGUCCACGCCCUAAACUAUGCACACUAGCUAUUGGGAGCAUCGACCCUUCCAGUGGCGAAGCUAACGCGUUAAGUGUGUCGCCUGGGAAGUACGAUCGCAAGAUUAAAACUCAAAGAAAUAGGCGGGAACUCGCACAAGCAGUGGAUCAUGUGGUUCAAUUCGACUCUAACCGAGAAACCUCACCAGGGCUUGAAAUCCAAAGGAAAUCCCGCAGAAACGUGGGACCCCGAAAGGCCGUUGGACAGGUGCUGCACGGCUGUCGUCAGCUCGUCUCGUGAGAGGUCUCCUUAAGUGGAUCAACGAGCGCAACCCCUAUCGUGUGUUAUACGUGUCACACGAGACUGCUGCGGUAACGCAGAGGAAGGUGGGGAUGACGUCAAGUCAGCGUGGCCCUCUGAUGCCCUGGGCUACACACAUGAUACAAUGGACGCGACAACGGGUCGCCAAACCGCGAGGUGGAGCUAAUCCCAUCAAACGCGUCCUCAGUUCGGAUAGGAGGCUGCAACUUGCCUCCUUGAAGCUGGAAUUGCUAGUAAUCGCGGAUCAGCAUGCCGCGGUGAAUACGUUCUCGAGUUUUGCACUCACUGCCCGUCAACUCAAGGGAGCCGGUAAUACCUGAAGACCCCUACAUUCCUGGGGGGACACGGUAGGAUCGGUAACAGGGAGUAAGUCGUAACAAGGCAAGGCUAGCGGAAGCUGGUCUUGGAUCACCUCCUUU